GUGGCAUAUGCCUUUAAUUCCAGCACUUGGGAGGCAGAGGCAGGUGGAUCUCUGUAUCUCUGUGAGUUCAAGGCCAGCCUGCUUUACUCAGAACAGCCAGGGCUACAAAGAGAAACCCUGUUUCGAAUCCCAGAAUCUCUCUUGCCCCCUAACAGAAAAGGCGGAAAGGGCAGGAGAACAGCAGACAAGCUUUGCUAUGUGUCGGUGUCUGCUUCAAAGAUUUCCAUCAUGCUAGGGCUUACACAGUGAGACGGUCUCAAACAAAAAAGAUAUCACUGUUUGAAACAUACUUCUUACAUGCAUUUUUCUCUCCUCCAUGGCCCUGCUCUGUUUGUUUGUUUAAUUCUAGCUGUCCUAGAACUCACUAUGUAGAUCUGGAUGACCUCAAAACCCAAGAGCUCCACUUCCGUGCCUCUGCCUUCCAAGUGCUGGGAUUAACAUUUUGUGUCACCACACCUGAUGCAUUUUUCCCUUAGAAUUUGGGAAAUUCUACAUUCCUCUUAAGUGGGGCCAGUUUGUUGCCAAUUCUGAGUCAGUAUGAGAGCUGAAGAUGGGAAUAUUUGUUAUGUGUGAAUAGAGAUAGGAACGAAGAAACUCAUCUCCUGCUCCUCAUUUCUCCCUCACCCUAGCGGCAUGUGAAUCCCUAAGGCCCCUUGGAAAGGAUACAUGGAAUUGCUAAGAUCUUCCAGCUGUCAACACAGAGAAAAGGUUUAUGUCAGGGGACCCAGAACAAACCUGGAUGCUCUGGGGAAGGCCUACUGGUGGAGCUUGGGGGAGGGGGGGCUCACAACUCUUGGGUUCAUGUACCCAACUUUCCAUGGGAGACUUGGGAGCCUGUGCCCUCUCCACCCUUGGUGUCCCAGGAUCCACAACAGCCAGCUCUAUGACCCACAUUGCUAAGCAGCUGGUCCAGGUUGCGGUCAGCCAUUGUCUUCUUCUGCUCCUCAGGCAAGCCUUCUGUGACCCCAUCCUCCUCUUCUUCCUCGUCCUCUUCCUCCCCACACACAUCCAGGCUGAAGUGCAGUCUGGCCAACUUCUCCUGCAUCUCCCGAACAUGCUCCAGCUGCUCGAAGGAACAUUCCUUCCCUGGACAACUCUUGAGUUUAGGAGGCAGCCUGGGACCCUAACCCCAGCCUGUCCCCAGACCAAGAUCCCCAGCAGCACCCACAGAACUGCCCUGCUCCCGGACUUACCAAAGGCCUGCAGGCGGCCUGAAUGAAAAUCAUUGAGCAAGUUCAGCAGUCCUCCCUCCAUCUCAUAAACAUCUGUCACCUCUGUCAGGAAGGAGUGUUGCAGGGGUGUGCCUGCGGAGCCGCCUCCACCUCCAGCCAGCACCGGUCGGCAUUUCUCCUUGCCUGCUCUGGGUAAAGUAGACAUGACUGUGGUCAUAGGUGUGUCAUGUCUCUCUGCACUACUGCAUCUGCCCCACCCACUCACCAACACAAACUGGUGUUUGUUCUCUGGGCCUGUCCUGAGCAGCAGGAUAGGUUAAGGGAAGGAGCAGAUGAAGGGGAGAAAGGAAGAGGGCAGAAAGGCAUCUGUUUCCACGGAUGCUGUAGCCAGAGGCCUACCUGCAAGGAGACUGACCGAGAGCCCAUGAAGCCUCUGUGACUCUGGAUAGGUCACUUGUCCUUGGCCUUGAGGGAGUUUCUUCUUUUACUGCCAACGAAGCACCUCCCACGAAAAACCACCCUGCUCUUGUUCCGUUCCAGAAACUGUUUUGAAUUUUCCAUCUCCUUGAAGGCGUGGCUCUGGCUCCAGCAGGCCAACAUCCUUCUCCCCAGAGUGGCCCUGAACACAGCAGCCAGUUGGGCUUUCCUUCCUCUCCGACUGCAUUUCCUACCAUUCUCAAAGAGCCAGCCCUGAGCUCCGGAUAAAAUCUACUAUGGCCAUGCCAGUACAUGCUGGCCAGGCAGAUGGUAUGGAGCCCCACAGAGGACACUGGUUUUAUUUAGAACAAUGGGGAAAAGAACACAUUGUAUUUAUGGGAACAAACCUGGACCUAGGGUAGGAUCCAAAUUAUCUUUUGUUUUGUUAUUUUUGAGACAAGGUCUAACUAUUCAGCCUUGACUUGGCGGGAACUCACUGUGUAGUCCAAGCUGUUCUCAGAGAGAUGCACCAGCCUCUGCCACCCAAUGCUAGGAUUAAAGGCAUGUGCCACCGCACCUGGCCACCAAAAUUCUUAACAUUGGUUUUGUUUUGUUUUUGUUGAGGUAGGGUCUCUUCUAACCCAGGCUAACUUCAAACUCUCUAUGUAGCCAAUGAUCUGUGAACUCCUGAUCCUGCACCUCUGCCACCCAAGGGCUGGGAUGAUGGCCCUGCACUACCACUUGCAGCCAGACUUCCAUUAUUUAAAAAGAACUGAGCAGAGAACUUAAAUGGGCGAGGGAGAAAGCACAGUGGGAGAGCACUUGCCCAGUAUCAGUAUCUUGAGGUCAAUCUCCCAGCGUGGUGACCAAAAUACAAUGAAUUUAAAAGGAAGGAAUCGUCCUCCCUGGUGUUUAUCCCUACACUCCUGGGGCCCUUCCAUCAGUGUCUUGGUUCUCAUGGCAUUCUCAGUCUUGAUUAUCACCUCCCCUCAUCAGUGUCUAGCAGCUUCCUCUCACAGUCACACUCACUCACUCCCUCCUCAGAGCUAGAGCCAGUGGUCUCUAUGUACCUGAGGACACGUCGGGUCUACAUCCCCAGUGAAUGGGUAAGGCAUUGGCUGCUGUUCAGCAGCGAUGUCGAUGUCUGCAGGUCCUCCUUACACAGUGCUCGGCUCACACCUGGGAGUCUCCAGUCUGGCCAAGAGCCCCUCCCUACUCACCUCUUGAACUUGGCUCGCUGCUUGGGUGAUGGCAAAUGAGGGAGUCCCAGAGCCAAGGAGCCACUGUGGCUGGUGGGCACAGGGACUCUGCGCAGUGUGCCUGGGGCCUGUGCUGGUUGGGUCAGGCAGGGCUUAGGACUCCGUUUCUUCUUUUUGUCUUCCAUUGGGUGGUGUGUUGGACCUCAGGUCUGGGAAGGAAGGGGGCAAAAUCAUCCCUUCACUCAGCACCCUCUUUCGUCUGAGAGGAAGGGUCUUCAGAUGUAUCUUUGUCCAUCAGUCAGGAGCUCUGUCCUCUUGUCUGUACAGGGUCAUAUGCCAGCCUGCUGCUGGACUGUAGCUAUGCAUCUGAAGGACCUCCCAAGGCCAGCAAAGCCCUUUUCUUCCUGACAGCCCCAUCUGCCUGCUGGAGAGGGCUGGCCCAGACCAGGGUCAUCUUGCUGUUUUCCUGUCACUACAGCCCAGAGCCUGGGGCUGUAGAGGAAGAUGCUCAGGAGACAGGGUGGAUGUGACUAGGGGAGCAAGCUGAGGAUCAGGAGGCCAUUUGCUAGGCAACGGUCUGUAUAUGGCAGCGGAUACUGACUAACUGCAUGAGGUGCAACCAAGCAGCAGUGUGACCCAGUAAGAGACCUGAUGGAAGCG
rnacentral:lncRNA from 1 species